rnacentral:tRNA from 1 species
GGGGGUGUAGCUCGAGGGUAGAGCAUUUGACUGCAGAUCAUGAGGUCCCCGGUUCAAAUCCAGGUACCCCCU